GAGUUGGCCAGACGAUCGCGGUAUUGUGCGUCUUUGAUGUGCAAUACGGAGGAAAGUCCGGGCUCCAUAGGGCAGGGUGCCAGGUAACGCCUGGGGGGCGUGAGCCCACGGAAAGUGCAGCAGAAAGGAAACCGCCUUUCUUUACAAGACCGCUCAAGGCUGUUUAUUCAGCUCGACGUGGCUUUUGAGGAGGGUAAGGGUGAAAAGGUGCGGUAAGAGCGCACCGCGCGGCUGGUAACAGGCGUGGCGAUGGUAAACCCCACCUGGAGCAAGACCAAAUAGGAAUCCGUUGGCUGCGGCCCGCAGUGGAUUCGGGUAGGUCGCUUGAGGCCAGCGGCGACGCUGGUCCCAGAUGAAUGAUCGUUCUCGACAGAACCCGGCUUAUCGGCCGACUCCU
rnacentral:RNase_P_RNA from 12 species